GCCCUGAUGGUCUAGCGGUAUGAUUCUCCCUUAGGGUUGCGAAUAGCUUCACAUGGGUACACGCGCACAGACCACCCCACCUCCCUCCAACCAAAAGCGCGAACCGGCAGUCUAUGGUGAACCGGCAGUCUAUGGUGAACCGGCAGUCUAUGGUGAGGGCCCAGGUUCGAAUCCUGGUUAGGGCC
rnacentral:tRNA from 1 species